rnacentral:rRNA from 1 species
UACGUAUGGUGCAAGCGUUAUCCGGAUUUACUGGGUGUAAAGGGAGCGCAGGCGGCACGGCAAGCCUGAUGUGAAAGCCCGCGGCCCAACCGCGGGACUGCAUUGGGAACUACCGGGCUGGAGUGCCGGAGAGGUAGGCGGAAUUCCUAGUGUAGCGGUGAAAUGCAUAGAUAUCACGCAGAACUCCGAUUGCGAAGGCAGCAUACCGGCGCCCGACUGACGCUGAGGCACGAAAGCGUGGGGAUCGAACAGG